rnacentral:rRNA from 1 species
AUUGAACGCUGGCGGCAGGCCUAACACAUGCAAGUCGAGCGAGCGGCGGACGGGUGAGUAAUGUAUGGGGAUCUGCCUGAUGGCGGGGGAUAACUACUGGAAACGGUAGCUAAUAGCGCAUACCAGCAUAUGGGCCCAUAGGGGCUUGGCUAGUGGUUGAGGUAACGGCUUACCGAGGCGACGAUCCCUAGCUGGUCUGAGAGGAUGAUCAGCCACACGGGGACUGAGACACGGCCCAGACUCCUACGGGAGGCAGCAGUGGGGAAUAUUGCACAAUGGGCGCAAGCCUGAUGCAGCCAUGCCGCGUGUAUGAAGAAGGCCUUCGGGUUGUAAAGUACUUUCGGUCGGGAGGCGUUAUCUACAGAAGAAGCCCCGGCUAACUACGUGCCAGCAGCCGCGGUAAUAC